rnacentral:rRNA from 1 species
UACGGAGGGUGCGAGCGUUGUCCGGAAUCACUGGGCGUAAAGGGCGCGUAGGCGGCCUGAUAAGUAGGGGGUGAAAUCCUGCGGCUUAACCGCAGGGCUGCCUUCUAAACUGUCAGGCUGGAGCACAGUAGAGGCAGGUGGAAGUUCCCGGUGUAGCGGUGGAAUGCGUAGAGAUCGGGAAGAACAUCAGUGGCGAAGGCGGCCUGCUGGGCUGUUGCUGACGCUGAGGCGCGACAGGCGUGGGGAGCAAACAGG